rnacentral:rRNA from 1 species
AGUCUGGUGCCAGCAGCCGCGGUAAUUCCAGCUCCAAUAGCGUAUAUUAAAGUUGUUGCAGUUAAAAAGCUCGUAGUUGAACUUCAGGCCUGGCCGGGCGGUCCUCCUCACGGUGCGUACUGUCUGGCCGGGUCUUACCUCUUGGUGAGCCGACAUGCCCUUUACUGGGUGCGCCGGAGAACCAGGACUUUUACCUUGAGAAAAUUAGAGUGUUCAAAGCAGGCCUACGCCUGAAUACGUUAGCAUGGAAUAAUGAAAUUGGACGUGCGGUUCUAUUUUGUUGGUUUCUAGAGUCGCCGUAAUGAUUAAUAGGGAUAGUUGGGGGCAUUUGUAUUCCGUUGCUAGAGGUGAAAUUCUUGGAUUUACGGAAGACAAACUUCUGCGAAAGCAUUUGCCAAGGAUGUUUUCAUUAAUCAAGAACGAAGGUUAGGGGAUCGAAAACGAUCAGAUACCGUUGUAGUCUUAACAGUAAACUAUGCCGACUAGGGAUCGGGCGACCUCUUUUUCAUGUGUCGCUCGGCACCUUACGAGAAAUCAAAGUCUUUGGGUUCUGAGGGGAGUAUGGUCGCAAGGCUGAAACUUAAAGGAAUUGACGGAAGGGCACCACCAGGAGUGGAGCCUGCGGCUUAAUUUGACACAACACGGGGAAACUCACCAGGUCCAGACAUGACUAGGAUUGACAGAUUGAUAGCUCUUUCUUGAUUUUAUGGGUGGUGGUGCAUGGCCGUUCUUAGUUGGUGGAGUGAUUUGUCUGGUUAAUUCCGAUAACGAACGAGACCUUGACCUGCUAAAUAGCCAGGCCGUCUUCGGAUGGUCGCCGGCUUCUUAGAGGGACUAUCAGCGUCUAGCUGAUGGAAGUUUGAGGCAAUAACAGGUCUGUGAUGCCCUUAGAUGUUCUGGGCCGCACGCGCGCUACACUGACAGAGCCAGCGAGUUCCAUCCUUGGCCGGAAGGUCUGGGUAAUCUUGUGAAACUCUGUCGUGCUGGGGAUAGAGCAUUGCAAUUAUCGCUCUUCAACGAGGAAUUCCUAGUAAGCGUGAGUCAUCAGCUCGCGUUGAUUACGUCCCUGCCCUUUGUACACACCGCCCGUCGCUACUACCGAUUGAAUGGCUUAGUGAGGUCUCCGAACCGGCGGUGGGGAGCCGGCAACGGCACCCUGCUGCUGAGAAGCUGAU